rnacentral:rRNA from 1 species
UCGAGUUUGGCGUCUUGGACGCUGGGCUCUCAAGCUAACGCAUUAAGUAGACCGCCUGGGGAGUACGGCCGCAAGGUUAAAACUCAAAUGAAUUGACGGGGGCCCGCACAAGCGGUGGAGCAUGUGGUUUAAUUCGAUGCAACGCGAAGAACCUUACCUACUCUUGACAUCCAGUGAACUUGGCAGAGAUGCCUUGGUGCCUUCGGGAACACUGAGACAGGUGCUGCAUGGCUGUCGUCAGCUCGUGUUGUGAAAUGUUGGGUUAAGUCCCGCAACGAGCGCAACCCCUAUCCUUAGCUGCCAGCGGUUCGGCCGGGAACUCUAGGGAGACUGCCGGUGAUAAACUGGAGGAAGGUGGGGACGACGUCAAGUCAUCAUGGCCCUUACGAGUAGGGCUACACACGUGCUACAAUGGCGUAUACAAAGGGCUGCCAACCUGCAAAGGCGAGCGAAUCCCAUAAAGUGCGUCGUAGUCCGGAUCGGGGUCUGCAACUCGACCCCGUGAAGUCGGAAUCGCUAGUAAUCGUGGAUCAGAAUGCCACGGUGAAUACGUUCCCGGGCCUUGUACACACCGCCCGUCACACCAUGGGAGUGGGCUGCAAAAGAAGUGGGUAGUUAACCUCGGGAGG